CCUACGGGAGGCAGCAGUGGGGAAUAUUGCACAAUGGGGGAAACCCUGAUGCAGCGACGCCGCGUGAGUGAAGAAGUAAUUCGUUAUGUAAAGCUCUAUCAGCAGGGAAGAAAGUGACGGUACCUUAGGAAUAAGCCUCGGCUAACUACGUGCCAGCAGCCGCGGUAAUACGUAGGAGGCAAGCGUUAUCCGGAAUGACUGGGCGUAAAGGGUGCGUAGGUGGUUUGACAAGUUGGUAGCGUAACUCCGGAGCUCAACUUCGGAACUACUACCAAAACUGUUGGACUCGAGUGCAGGAGGGGCAACUGGAAUUUCUAGUGUAGCGGUGGAAUGCGUAGAUAUUAGGAAGAACACCGGUGGCGAAGGCGAGUUGCUGGACUGUAACUGACACUGAGGCACGAAAGCGUGGGGAGCAAACAGGAUUAGAUACCCCUGUAGUC
rnacentral:rRNA from 1 species